CAAUAACGUAUAUUAAGGUUGUUGCGGUUAAAAAGCUCGUAGUUGGAUUUCUGUCGAAAGUGCUUGGUCCCCACUCUGUGGGCGCAUCUAAGUCGCUUUUGGCAUCCUCCUAUUUUUCGUUUGCUGCACUUAAUUGGGUGGCUUUCGGAGUAGGACUUUUACUUUGAGGAAAUUCGAGUGUUUACGGCAGGCAAUCGCCUUGUAGAUAUUAGCAUGGAAUAAUAAUAUAGGACCUUGGUUCUAUUUUGUUUGGUUUCUUAGGACUGAGGUAAUGAUUAAUAAGGGAUAUUUGGGGGUCGAUUCGUAUUAACCGGUCAGAGGUGGAAUUCUUGGAUUCGGUUACGACGAACUACUGCGAAAGCAUUUGCCAAGAAUAGUUUUCUAUUGAUCAAGAACGAAAGUAGUGGGGA
rnacentral:rRNA from 1 species